AUGAGGCUGAACAAAAACCUGUGUUCAGUAAGGCUCUUCUCUACACUUCAUAAUACAAAAAUGUUCUCAAACGAUAACUGUCUGGUCCUGGGAGAGAAGGACGUGGUCUGGCUUUUGCUGCCUCAUCCAGCUUCUAAGCCAGGAGCCCAACACCAAGGUUGCUGCUGGUGGCACCUUCCAAUUUUUCAGUGUCUCUACUUGCAUCUCUUCUAUCCUUUCUCUCUUUUUUUUUUUUUUAAAUUAAUUUACUCUUUAGUUUUCUUUCCUUCCCUAUGACUUAAAAAGAGUAAAGGAGGCUGGAACAAGCCAACAAGAGCUGUUUGGAGAACCUUCACAAGCCUCAGUCUUUGCAUCUGUGCAAUGGGGUAAGAAUACCAAAUUCAGAAGGUGGUUGAGAGAAUAUGCUAAUAUACGUGACAGCACUUUAUCAGCUUCGACUUAUGGUAGAAGAAAAAGGCAGUCACCACAGCACCAUGGCUGGAAGAGGUAUGCUCUUCUGUAACCGAGUUGACUGCAACCAAGAUGCCAGAGUCUGCUUUCACCACCAAUGUCCGACCAGCAAUUUAUCACUAACGUUUCAAAACGUGGUUACCUGUGAGCUGAUGGAUGCUUGUACAAGAACACGGAGGCCAAUGGACAGAGUCAAAUCAAAAUAACUUUCCGCACCUCUAAUCAUCCUGGAUAAACCAAUGACAGCUACUAAAUUUCCUUAUGCUUCAUUCCACUUCAGGUGACUAUACAGACAAGGAGGUGCUUUUCUUACACACAAGCUAAACAGAGUUAGGUUGAGAAACUGAAAUCAGGGAGACCAAGGAAGAACAGCAUUCGCCCCUACUGGGAAAAGGAGGCUUGCUUCAAGUUCUUAUUUUAACUCACAGAUAGCAAAGCAUUUGACACUUGGCCAGGAGGACACUGAGCAUCAGCUGUGUCUUGUCUCAGCCGUGUGCUGUGCCCUCCAGGGCCCUUUUUUCUCACAGCCAUUUGUGCCCCUAUGUGAGUCCACCCUUCUCAGUGUCUCUGGGACUUGGCCAUUAGCAGAAGUUACUUCUAGUUGAUCAGUAAAUUGUGAUGGUCAUUGUUAGAUGACCUGAGGUGACCCCUCAGGGCAUUUUCCAGAGUCUCCACAUACUUAGCCUCAUGUCUGUCACCCCAGCUUGAGGGGCCCUGGUCCUCCUUUCCCAGGACACGUGGACCCUCCCUCGUUAUGUCACCACACUUUUAUUUCCCUCUGUUCUGAACUAUGUUCCCUCCGUCCUUGGCCUUACAGACAGGCAGUGAGUUCACGAGUUCAAGCCCCACUGUCUCCAACUGCAGCUUAGACAGAAAGGAGACCAUGCUUUCUGGUCCCUCUGCCAGAUGGGAAGCCCUGAAUCCCUGGUUUCCUUCAUCUCCACGUCUCUCCUUAUGAAAUUCUGCCUAAGUCAGAAACACGUUGAUUCUGUCGAUGAAGGAAAGACUUCAAUCCAUGCAGCCACUGAUCGCAUGUUUCUGGUAAACACACAACUGGUCCAAGACAAGAGGAGCUGGAGUUGGCCACACCUCCAUAGAGGAAGUCCUUCCCGCCUUGUUUGGAGGAACACGGCUACACUCUAUGUGAAUCCCUCAGCUGAGUUAAAGUACUUAUUUUAACUCACAGAUAGCAAAGCAUUUGACACUUGGCCAGGAGGACACUGAGCAUCAGCUGUGUCUUGUCUCAGCUGUGUGCUGUGCCCUCCAGGGCCCUUUUUUCUCACAGCCAUUUGUGCCCCUAUGUGAGUCCACCCUUCUCAGUGUCUCUGGGACUUGGCCAUUAGCAGAAGUUACUUCUAGUUGAUCAGUAAAUUGUGAUGGUCAUUGUUAGAUGACCUGAGGUGACCCCUCAGGGCAUUUUCCAGAGUCUCCACAUACUUAGCCUCAUGUCUGUCACCCCAGCUUGAGGGGCCCUGGUCCUCCUUUCCCAGGACACGUGGACCCUCCCUCGUUAUGUCACCACACUUUUAUUUCCCUCUGUUCUGAACUAUGUUCCCUCCGUCCUUGGCCUUACAGACAGGCAGUGAGUUCACGAGUUCAAGCCCCACUGUCUCCAACUGCAGCUUAGACAGAAAGGAGACCAUGCUUUCUGGUCCCUCUGCCAGAUGGGAAGCCCUGAAUCCCUGGUUUCCUUCAUCUCCACGUCUCUCCUUAUGAAAUUCUGCCUAAGUCAGAAACACGUUGAUUCUGUCGAUGAAGGAAAGACUUCAAUCCAUGCAGCCACUGAUCGCAUGUUUCUGGUAAACACACAACUGGUCCAAGACAAGAGGAGCUGGAGUUGGCCACACCUCCAUAGAGGAAGUCCUUCCCGCCUUGUUUGGAGGAACACGGCUACACUCUAUGUGAAUCCCUCAGCUGAGUUAAAGUACUUACUAUAACCCAAAGAAAGAACAGCUCUGAUGAAAUCAAAACUUCACACUACAGAUCCCAUCUGUGUGGACAGAUUCCAAGAUGGCCCCAGUGAUGCCUGCCCACCUUCACUGGAGUUCACGCCCACACCAUCCACUUAUCUUGAGUGUGGGUGGGACCAAUGACAUAUGGCAGUAGUGAUUUCACUUUGUGAAUUGACUACACAGGAUUCUAACUUCCAUCUUGCUAGCAGAUGCUCUCUGUAGACUCUCCCGUGUGCUGUGAUCUGCCCUUCAGAGAACGCCCCACCGAUGAGGAGCUGAGGCAGCCUCAGGCCGACAGCCAGCAAAGAAUGGAGGACCCCAGUCCAUCUGCCCACCAGGAACUCAAGGCUGGCAAAAGCCAUGUGAGCUUGAAGUGGAUCCAUCCCUAGUCAAGUUUUCAGACGAGACUCUGACCCUGGCUGAUGCCUUGAUGACAGCUUCACAAGGAGCCUGAAGCAAAGACCUCAGCUAAGCUGUGCCUUGAUUCCUGACCCACAGAACCCAAGAGAUAGUACAUGUGUUGGUUUCAGCUUCUGCCUUUGUGGUAGUUUCUUAUGGAGCGACAGAGAACUCAUUUACCAUCUGAGCCCCAAAUAAAAGCCAAGACUGGUAAGCACAUUUAAAUUUUCCUUAUUAAGGGACAACUUUUCACACUGAGAAGUUUCUAGUUUAAAACGAUGCUAAUUCAAUAAGACAUUAUUUCCUCUCCUAGGUUUCUCUUUUAAACUUUAUUCCUUAAUUCCAUGUGCAAAGAAACCAUCAGAAGCUGGGACUUUUCUUCCUCUUCCUGAAUAGAAUGUAAGUGCUCAAAAUUUAAAACCUGCAAGUUCGGAGUUCAACCCCAUCCAACCCCAAACUGAAGACCUUUAAAAGCCUUAAAAAAAAAAAAAAAAACCUGGUAUUUCCAAAUGAACUCUCCUCCUGGCCCUGAAGUUCUCUGAAGUCUUUUAAGCUACAUAUUCACAUCUUCAGACACAUGAACCAGUUUUUAGCUUCCUGCAAAUAAUUUUUCUAUGUUAAAAGUUUCAGUUGUUAAUAGCUUCAAAAACAGCAAGCCAUUCUUACUUACAUCUGGAAGUCUGUACAGCUUCAUCGUUCUCUGCAAAGUCAUAUUUCUACUCAAGUGAGAAAAUUUCACUUCUACCAAUUUUCUGGGGUUUAGUGAUCGAUGCCAGUAUCUGAAAUACAAUACAGGCUUUAAGGUCUGAUUGAUUUCUAACUCUCCAAGUUUUACUCUCUGUCUCAGCUCAGCUGUUACAGAAGAACUGAACAAACAUCAUGUAGGGCCUGGUGCGGUGCAGGUCCUGGUCCUCUGCCUAUGUAAUUAUUUUAUCUGUCAUUUUACCUCGAAAUGAUGUUCCAGUUUUGCUCUUUUGACAUUGGUAACCUUCCGUCUCUUUUAAUAUAGAAAAAUCUUAAAAUUGCAGAAGAAAUAUUGACAAUGUCCAGUUUGUAAGUAUUGAAUGACCAUCACAGAUUCUAAGAAGGCAAACCAAAAACUUUAAAAGCAUGAAAAGACUCCUGAAGUUAGUAACCUUCACAUUUAUAUAAUGCACAUGGAAGAAAACUUUUGAGAAAUGAGUUUGAAUUUCUUAAAUGAUUCUGGCUUAGGUACUGGAAUGAAUGAUUACAGAUUAUAU
ensembl:lncRNA